GUUGACCUCGGAUCAGGUAGGAAGACCCGCUGAACUUAAGCAUAUCAAUAAGCGGAGGAAAAGAAACCAACAGGGAUUGCCCUAGUAACGGCGAGUGAAGCGGCAACAGCUCAAAUUUGAAAUCUGGCUUCGGCCCGAGUUGUAAUUUGCAGAGGAAGCUUUAGGCGCGGCACCUCCUGAGUCCCCUGGAACGGGGCGCCACAGAGGGUGAGAGCCCCGUAUAGUUGGAUGCCUAGCCUGUGUAAAGCUCCUUCGACGAGUCGAGUAGUUUGGGAAUGCUGCUCAAAAUGGGAGGUAAAUUUCUUCUAAAGCUAAAUACCGGCCAGAGACCGAUAGCGCACAAGUAGAGUGAUCGAAAGAUGAAAAGCACUUUGAAAAGAGGGUUAAAUAGCACGUGAAAUUGUUGAAAGGGAAGCGCUUGUGACCAGACUUGCGCCGGGCUGAUCAUCCGGUGUUCUCACCGGUGCACUCUGCCCGGCUCAGGCCAGCAUCGGUUCUCGCGGGGGGAUAAAGGCCCUGGGAACGUAGCUCCUCCGGGAGUGUUAUAGCCCGGGGCGCAAUGCCCUCGCGGGGACCGAGGUUCGCG
rnacentral:rRNA from 1 species